rnacentral:rRNA from 1 species
GAUGAACGCUGGCGGCGUGCCUAAUACAUGCAAGUCGAGCGAACGGACGAGAAGCUUGCUUCUCUGAUGUUAGCGGCGGACGGGUGAGUAACACGUGGAUAACCUACCUAUAAGACUGGGAUAACUUCGGGAAACCGUAGCUAAUACCGGAUAAUAUUUUGAACCGCAUGGUUCAAAAGUGAAAGACGGUCUUGCUGUCACUUAUAGAUGGAUCCGCGCUGCAUUAGCUAGUUGGUAAGGUAACGGCUUACCAAGGCAACGAUGCAUAGCCGACCUGAGAGGGUGAUCGGCCACACUGGAACUGAGACACGGUCCAGACUCCUACGGGAGGCAGCAGUAGGGAAUCUUCCGCAAUGGGCGAAAGCCUGACGGAGCAACGCCGCGUGAGUGAUGAAGGUCUUCGGAUCGUAAAACUCUGUUAUUAGGGAAGAACAUAUGUGUAAGUAACUGUGCACAUCUUGACGGUACCUAAUCAGAAAGCCACGGCUAACUACGUGCCAGCAGCCGCGGUAAUACGUAGGUGGCAAGCGUUAUCCGGAAUUAUUGGGCGUAAAGCGCGCGUAGGCGGUUUUUUAAGUCUGAUGUGAAAGCCCACGGCUCAACCGUGGAGGGUCAUUGGAAACUGGAAAACUUGAGUGCAGAAGAGGAAAGUGGAAUUCCAUGUGUAGCGGUGAAAUGCGCAGAGAUAUGGAGGAACACCAGUGGCGAAGGCGACUUUCUGGUCUGUAACUGACGCUGAUGUGCGAAAGCGUGGGGAUCAAACAGGAUUAGAUACCCUGGUAGUCCACGCCGUAAACGAUGAGUGCUAAGUGUUAGGGGGUUUCCGCCCCUUAGUGCUGCAGCUAACGCAUUAAGCACUCCGCCUGGGGAGUACGACCGCAAGGUUGAAACUCAAAGGAAUUGACGGGGACCCGCACAAGCGGUGGAGCAUGUGGUUUAAUUCGAAGCAACGCGAAGAACCUUACCAAAUCUUGACAUCCUUUGACAACUCUAGAGAUAGAGCCUUCCCCUUCGGGGGACAAAGUGACAGGUGGUGCAUGGUUGUCGUCAGCUCGUGUCGUGAGAUGUUGGGUUAAGUCCCGCAACGAGCGCAACCCUUAAGCUUAGUUGCCAUCAUUAGGUUGGGCACUCUAAGUUGACUGCCGGUGACAAACCGGAGGAAGGUGGGGAUGACGUCAAAUCAUCAUGCCCCUUAUGAUUUGGGCUACACACGUGCUACAAUGGACAAUACAAAGGGCAGCGAAACCGCGAGGUCAAGCAAAUCCCAUAAAGUUGUUCUCAGUUCGGAUUGUAGUCUGCAACUCGACUACAUGAAGCUGAAAUCGCUAGUAAUCGUAGAUCAGCACGCUACGGUGAAUACGUUCCCGGGUCU